rnacentral:snRNA from 1 species
UUGCUGACUCGGAUUUGAA